UCCCUGGUGGUCCAGUGGUUAGGACUCAGCGCUUUUACUGCCGUGGCCUGAGUGCAAUCCCUGGUCGGGGAA
rnacentral:tRNA from 1 species